GUAUCUACUGAGCGUUUCAGUCAACAAUACGGCUCGUGUUCGACAAUAUUCCUUGAUGACAGCACAGCCAGCCAGCAUUAUCUUACAAUGACAAUAAUAUCGCACUGAGAAGCCUUUUAGGAAAAUCGGGAUGGAUGUGAGGCAUCUUUCUGUGAAGAAAAGCAUCCCAGAAGAUUCUGAUUUUCACCCCAGCUCAAUCAUUCCAAAUUUUGCUGCUGAUUGAAAUCACCUGGGAAACGUUUACCAAGAACCUUGAUGCCCAAAGCCAUACCCAAUACUAAUUAAAUUAAAAUGUCUCAUGUUGAAGAUGAGGCAGAUAUUAAAGCUUCUCAGGCGAUUUUAAUGUGCAGCAAAGUUUGAGAGCCACUGCUUAGUUUGAGUUUAGGACAAGAAACUGCUCCUAUUUGGUGGGACCUUGGGCAAGUCAGUUUUAAGUGUGACCUUGGAGAUACCUCAUCAUAUCACACAAAGAGAUGCAGAUAGAUCUUUGAGGACACUUGAUGAACAGUUACACUCAUUUGCGUUCAUGCCGUGGAGGAAGUGGUGAAGGAGGUGGUGGGACAUGCCAAGGAGACUGGAGAGAAAGCCAUUGCUGAAGCCAUAAAGAAAGCCCAAGAGUCAGGGGACAAAAAGAUGAAGGAAAUCACCGAGACAGUGACCAACACAGUCACAAAUGCCAUCACCCAUGCAGCAGAAAGUCUGGACAAACUUGGACAGUGAGUGCACCUGCUACCACGGCCCUUCCCCAGUCUCAAUAAAAAGCCAUGACAUGUGUACA
rnacentral:sRNA from 1 species